GACGUAGGGUGCAAGCGUUGUCCGGAUUUAUUGGGCGUAAAGAGCUCGUAGGCGGCUUGUUGCGUCGACUGUGAAAACCCGCGGCUUAACCGCGGGCUUGCAGUUGAUACGGGCAGGCUAGAGUUCGGUAGGGGAGACUGGAAUUCCUGGUGUAGCGGUGAAAUGCGCAGAUAUCAGGAGGAACACCGGUGGCGAGGGCGGGUCUCUGGGCCGAUACUGACGCUGAGGAGCGAAAGCGUGGGGAGCGAACAGG
rnacentral:rRNA from 1 species